GGUGCUUGCACCUUUCAGUGAGUGGCGAACGGGUGAGUAACACGUGGACAACCUGCCUCAAGGCUGGGGAUAACAUUUGGAAACAGAUGCUAAUACCGAAUAAAACUUAGUGUCGCAUGACACAAAGUUAAAAGGCGCUUUGGCGUCACCUAGAGAUGGAUCCGCGGUGCAUUAGUUAGUUGGUGGGGUAAAGGCCUACCAAGACAAUGAUGCAUAGCCGAGUUGAGAGACUGAUCGGCCACAUUGGGACUGAGACACGGCCCAAACUCCUACGGGAGGCUGCAGUAGGGAAUCUUCCACAAU
rnacentral:rRNA from 1 species